AGGUAACCCGUUCCCUGUCUUUGUUUUUAUUGCAUUCUAUCUCAUCGUAUCACAUUCUGUUCUGCGAGAUUAGAAAAUCACCAUCAAUACCUCGGUCUAGGUCCGAGAUAAUCCUUUGUUCCAUAGCCCUGGGGCUAUUUACAACUACCCAAUUAAGAAGUCUCAGAUGUACUAGCACUGCAUCUUUGAUGCAGUCAUCGAUUCUCCCGAGAGGUCACAAUUGCCGCGAGCAAAGAUAUU
rnacentral:lncRNA from 1 species